AAACACUUUAAUGGUCCUCGAGUAAAGCCAUUGACGAGUUGUUCUCUUCCCUAUAUAUUCCUUCGCAAUACCCUUCUCUUUCUUUCUCAACGAACCCCUAACCAAUUUCUCUUUUCCUUCUUUAAUCUGCUUUUCCUUUCUCUCAUCAUGGGCAAUUACGUUUCUUGCACUCUAUCCACUCCUUUGAUCAAGAAUUCCAAGGCCGCCAGGGUUGUUCUUCCCACCGGAGAAGUUAGGCAAUUUCGCCAUCAGCCCGUCAAAGCGGCAGAGCUCAUGUUGGAGUGUCCUAACUUCUUCUUGGUAAACUCACAAUCUCUUCACAUAGGCAGGAGGUUCUCUGCUCUUUCUGCUGAUGAGGAGGUGGAAUUUGGUAAUGUUUACAUUAUGUUUCCUAUGAAGAGAGUGAAUUCCGUUGUCACUGCAGCUGAUAUGGCUGCACUUUUCAUGGCUGCAAAUUCAGCUGCUAAGCGUGUAUCUGGAGGGAAUAAUAGUAAUAAGGUCAGUGUCUUGCCGGAGGCCAGCAGUUCCCUGCAGGGCAGUGAAGAUGGAGGGUCAAGAUUAGGUAGUUCUGAGGAGGAGAUUGAAGGGUUUCCAAUGCCGGAAUUCAAGUACAGGUUAUCUGUGCGUAGGUCAAGGAAAUCCAUGUUAGAGACCAUAAAAGAAGAACCAGUUCGUUCAAGAUGAGAUUAUUUUACGCACGUAGAGAAUUAAAUGACUCUUGU
rnacentral:misc_RNA from 1 species